GGCUUGCGCCACAUUAGUUAGUUGGUGAGGCAAAGGCUUACCAAGAUUAUGAUGUGUAGCUGGACUGAGAGGUUGAACAGCCACAUUGGGACUGAGACACGGCCCAAACUCCUACGGGAGGCAGCAGUAGGGAAUUUUCGGCAAUGGAGGAAACUCUGACCGAGCGACGCCGCGUGAACGAUGAAGUAUUUCGGUAUGUAAAGUUCUUUUAUUGAAGAAGAAAAAAUAGUGGAAAAACUAUCUUGACGUUAUUCAAUGAAUAAGCCCCGGCUAACUAUGUGCCAGCAGCCGCGGUAAGACAUAGGGGGCGAGCGUUAUCCGGAAUUAUUGGGCGUAAAGGGUGCGUAGGCGGUUAGAUAAGUCUAUAAUUUAAUUUCAGUGCUUAACGCUGUCUUGUUAUAGAAACUGUCUUGACUAGAGUGAGAUAGAGGCAAGCGGAAUUCCAUGUGUAGCGGUAAAAUGUGUAAAUAUAUGGAGGAACACCAGAAGCGUAGGCGGCUUGCUGGGUCUUUACUGACGCUGAGGCACGAAAGCGUGGGGAGCAAACAGGAUUAGAUACCCUGGUAGUCCACGCUGUAAACGAUGAGUACUAAGUGUCGGGGUAACUCGGUACUGAAGUUAACACAUUAAGUACUCCGCCUGAGUAGUACGUACGCAAGUAUGAAACUUAAAGGAAUUGACGGGACUCCGCACAAGCGGUGGAUCAUGUUGUUUAAUUCGAAGAUACACGAAAAACCUUACCAGGUCUUGACAUACUCUGCAAAGCUAUAGAAAUAUAGUGGAGGUUAUCAGGGAUACAGGUGGUGCAUGGUUGUCGUCAGUUCGUGUCGUGAGAUGUUAGGUUAAGUCCUAAAACGAACGCAACCCCUGUCGCUAGUUGCCAGCACGUAAUGGUGGGGACUUUAGCGAGACUGCCAAUUAAACAUUGGAGGAAGGUGGGGAUAACGUCAAAUCAUCAUGCCCCUUAUGAUCUGGGCUACAAACGUGAUACAAUGGCUAUUACAAAGAGUAGCUGAAACGCGAGUUUUUAGCCAAUCUCAAAAAGGUAGUCUCAGUACGGAUUGAAGUCUGCAACUCGACUUCAUGAAGCUGGAAUCGCUA
rnacentral:rRNA from 1 species